rnacentral:rRNA from 1 species
UGGGGAAUAUUGGACAAUGGGGGCAACCCUGAUCCAGCAAUGCCGCGUGUGUGAAGAAGGCCUGCGGGUUGUAAAGCACUUUCAAUCGUGAAAAAAGGCUUACGGUUAAUACCCGUAAGUCUUGAUGUUAACGAUACAAGAAGCACCGGCUAACUCCGUGCCAGCAGCCGCGGUAAUACGGAGGGUGCGAGCGUUAAUCGGAAUUACUGGGCGUAAAGAGCACGUAGGCGGCUUGGUCAGUCGGAUGUGAAAUCCCCGGGCUUAACCUGGGAAUUGCACUCGAUACUGCCAAGCUAGAGUUUAGUAGAGGAAUGCGGAAUUCCGGGUGUAGCGGUGAAAUGCGUAGAGAUCCGGAGGAACAUCAAUGGCGAAGGCAGCAUUCUGGGCGAAGACUGACGCUGAGGUGCGAAAGCGUGGGGAGCAAACAGGAUUAGAUACCCGCGUAGUCC